rnacentral:rRNA from 1 species
UACGUAGGGAGCAAGCGUUGUCCGGAAUCAUUGGGCGUAAAGCGCGCGUAGGCGGCCCUGUAAGUCCGUUGUGAAAGUCAAAGGCUCAACCUUUGAAAGCCGAUGGAUACUGCAGGGCUAGAGUCCGGAAGAGGCGAGUGGAAUUCCUGGUGUAGCGGUGGAAUGCGCAGAUAUCAGGAGGAACACCAAUAGCGAAGGCAGCUCGCUGGGACGGUACUGACGCUAAGGCGCGAAAGCGUGGGGGGCGAACAGG